GAUGAACGUUGGCGGCGUGCCUAACACAUGCAAGUCGAACGAUAGUCGCAAGACUAUAGUGGCGCACGGGUGAGUAACACGUAGCUUACCAGCCUCUCAGCGCGGGAUAACGGCUCGAAAGAGGUGCUAAUACCGCAUAAGCUCACGGGAUGUAGAGACUAGUGAGAAAAGGUGCAAAUCACUGAGAGACGGGGGCUGCGGCCCAUCAGCUAGNGGUGCGGUAACGGCGCACCAAGGCGACGACGGGUAGGGGACCUGAGAGGGUGACCCCC
rnacentral:rRNA from 1 species